UAUUUUUUAAUUGUAAAGUGGUCUAAUGUUCUCACUGUUCUAUAACUGCCCUUUUCACAUAACAGUGAGUAUUUGCCAUGCUAUUGUAUACUGUUCUGUAGCUUUACUUACAAGUAUCUAAUCAAUCUUUUGUUUUAUUCCAUAUUAUUCCGUAUUCCAAUUCCAUAAUUUCCAGGUUUUUGCUAUGAAAAUCAGCACUGUUAUGAACAUCUGUAGGCUAAAUAUCCAAAAUAAUUAUUUUGGAUUUUUACAGCCAUUCUGUGAUUUAUUUGCUUGGAUGUAACUUAUUCUCUAUUGGAUAUCUUUACCUCCUCUUAACUUUCCUGGGGACAUGGGUAAUGCCUGGAAUUGAAUUUGAUCAAUGGUGAUUAGCCCAGACUUGGCUGCUGCUUUGGCAUCUGUACUGUACACUCCUCCUCUCCGCCCCGCCGAGCUUCAUUUUCACUCAGGUCAGAUGGAGAGUGUGAAGAAACGCAACAAGUCCCCAUCUCUUCCCAAGGGCAAACACUGACCCUCUGUAGUUGUUGAGAGGUAAUUAUAUUGGGAGAGAGACGGGAAGUUUGGAAUGCAGAACAAAACCACUGCUUAAUACCCUCCAGGUCUGCCCAUGUUGCUGCAAAUUCUCUCAGCUGUUUGGAAUGGUUGGGCACUGGAAGCAGGAGAAGGGCAUUGGAACUGCAGGGCUCAGCUCUCCUCCCCCAGCCCCGACCAGCAAGGACAGGGCAUGUGCUCAGGUACUUCAAUUAUAAAAGUACUCCUCCAUACUUUUUACAAAAAACAAUUCUAGCACGUUCACCACGUUCCAGACAUUAUGCAUGAUCAUAUUUCAUCCUAAAGAUUUCUGAGGCUGAGAGUUUUAUUGUGUACAAUUAACAUAAUGAGACUGAUGCCUCAGCAGUGAAGAAACAUGACCACUCAUCACACAGGUAAUAUUGGAGCCUGAACGUAAACCCAUCUGCUUGACUCCAAAGCCCAUGCUCUUCAUCACUUUGUUUUACCAUCUCUCUGCUGCAUAAAUUAGCACCUAAGAAGCACCUAAGAAAUCUUUUAUAGAAAACCACUUGCUUCUAAACCAAGAACCUGCUCUUCCCUGCAUGCUGUCUUACAAGAAAGAAGUGACUUGGUGCAGAAGAGGUACAAUACGCACCCAAUAAAUGUUUGUUGAAUUAAUGAAUAGUUUAUAAUUGCAUAUCUUGCAAUGUGGUAGACCUGAAAACCUUCGCUACAUGUUAAUAAUUUUACCUUCUCCAGAUUUUAGAAUUCUUCCUUAAUAACUUUUUUUUUUACCACCACACAACUGUAAAAU